GGAGUUAGCCGGUGCUUCUUCUGUGAGUGAUGUCCUUCCUGCCGGCUAUUAACCCGCAGGCCUUCUUCCUCACUGAAAGUGCUUUACAACCCGAAGGCCUUCUUCACACACGCGGCAUGGCUGGAUCAGGGUUGCCCCCAUUGUCCAAUAUUCCCCACUGCUGCCUCCCGUAGGAGUCUGGGCCGUGUCUCAGUCCCAGUGUGGCUGAUCAUCCUCUCAGACCAGCUACGGAUCGUCGCCUUGGUGAGCCGUUACCUCACCAACCAGCUAAUCCGACAUAGGAUCAUCCGAUAGCGCGAGGCCCGAAGGUCCCCCGCUUUCCCCCGUAGGGCGUAUGCGGUAUUAGCCUGGGUUUCCCCAGGUUAUCCCCCACUACCGGGCAGAUUCCUAUGCAUUACUCACCCGUCCGCCGCUCGCCACCAGGGAGCAAGCUCCCCGUGCUGCCGCUCGACUUGCAUGUGUUAGGCCUGCCGCCAGCGUUCAAUCUGAGCCAGAAUCAAACUCUGA
rnacentral:rRNA from 1 species